rnacentral:rRNA from 1 species
GGCGGACGCGUGAGUAAUGUCUGCGAAACUGCCUGAUGGAGGGGGAUAACUACUGGAAACGGUAGCUAAUACCGCAUAACGUCGCAAGACCAUAGAGGCGGACCUUCGGGCCUCUUGCCAUCGGAUGUGCCCAGAUGGGAUUAGCUAGUAGGUGGGGUAACGGCUCACCUAGGCGACGAUCCCUAGCUGGUCUGAGAGGAUGACCAGCCACACUGGAACUGAGACACGGUCCAGACUCCUACGGGAGGCAGCAGUGGGGAAUAUUGCACAAUGGGCGCAAGCCUGAUGCAGCCAUGCCGCGUGUAUGAAGAAGGCCUUCGGGUUGUAAAGUACUUUCAGCGGGGAGGAAGGGAGUAAAGUUAAUACCUUUGCUCAUUGACGUUACCCGCAGAAGAAGCACCGGCUAACUCCGUGCCAGCAGCCGCGGUAAUACGGAGGGUGCAAGCGUUAAUCGGAAUUACUGGGCGUAAAGCGCACGCAGGCGGUUUGUUAAGUCAGAUGUGAAAUCCCCGGGCUCAACCUGGGAACUGCAUCUGAUACUGGCAAGCUUGAGUCUCGUAGAGGGGGGUAGAAUUCCAGGUGUAGCGGUGAAAUGCGUAGAGAUCUGGAGGAAUACCGGUGGCGAAGGCGGCCCCCUGGACGAAGACUGACGCUCAGGUGCGAAAGCGUGGGGAGCAAACAGGAUUAGAUACCCUGGUAGUCCACGCCGUAAACGAUGUCGACUUGGAGGUUGUGCCCUUGAGGCGUGGCUUCCGGAGCUAACGCGUUAAGUCGACCGCCUGGCGAGUACGGCCGCAAGGUUAAUACUCAAAUGAAUUGACGGGGGCCCGCACAAGCGGUGGAGCAUGUGGUAUAAUUCGAUGCAACGCGAAGAACCUUACCUGGUCUUGACAUCCACGGAAGUUUUCAGAGAUGAGAAUGUGCCUUCGGGAACCGUGAGACAGGUGCUGCAUGGCUGUCGUCAGCUCGUGUUGUGAAAUGUUGGGUUAAGUCCCGCAACGAGCGCAACCCUUAUCCUUUGUUGCCAGCGGUCCGGCCGGGAACUCAUAGGAGACUGCCAGUGAUAAACUGGAGGAAGGUGGCGAUGA